UCCCUGGUGGCUCAGACGGUAAAGCGUCUGCCUGCAGUGCAGGAGACCCGGGUUCGAUCCCUGGGUUGGGAA
rfam:TPA: Bos taurus chromosome 25, whole genome shotgun sequence.